rnacentral:rRNA from 1 species
CAAACUGGAGAUGGCGACCGGCGCACGGGUGAGUAACACGUAUCCAACCUGCCGAUAACUCGGGGAUAGCCUUUCGAAAGAAAGAUUAAUACCCGAUAGUAUAAUGAAACCGCAUGGUCUUAUUAUUAAAGAAUUUCGGUUAUCGAUGGGGAUGCGUUCCAUUAGGCAGUUGGUGGGGUAACGGCUCACCAAACCUUCGAUGGAUAGGGGUUCUGAGAGGAAGGUCCCCCACAUUGGAACUGAGACACGGUCCAA